CACAAACCCAACUACAGUCGGCCAUUACAACUCACCUACCUCAUCAGUGUUUUGACAAUAGUGCCAUUUUUAAAGCUCCAGCAAGAAA